rnacentral:misc_RNA from 1 species
CACUGGGAUAGAGAAGCAGGAACAGCACCGAAGGUCCAAAAUUUUGAAAUAAGGCUCAGUUAGCAACAAAUAAAGUGGAAGUGUUAAAAAACCUCUUUCAUAUUUAAAAGAUAUUCCAUUUGUAUCCAUCUCAUUGCAAUGAAGCUAGGAGCUAGCCAUGAAGAAAGCAUGUUUUCAAAAUUCAACACUAAUGUUCCGUCUCAUAGCAACACCGGCCGCUAGCCAUGGAAAAAGAAUGUUUUCAAAACUAAACACUAAUUUUCAGAACAGCAUCAUAGCCUACAGUUGGCAAAAUGGCCUCACCUGC